rnacentral:rRNA from 1 species
GCUCAACCGAGGAAGUGCUUCGAAAACUGGUAAACUUGAGUGCAGAAGAGGAAAGUGGAACUCCAUGUGUAGCGGUGGAAUGCGUAGAUAUAUGGAAGAACACCAGUGGCGAAGGCGGCUUUCUGGUCUGUAACUGACGCUGAGAUUCGAAAGCAUGGGUAGCAAACAGGAUUAGAUACCCUGGUAGUCCAUGCCGUAAACGAUGAGUGCUAAGUGUUGGAGGGUUUCCGCCCUUCAGUGCUGCAGCUAACGCAUUAAGCACUCCGCCUGGGGAGUACGAUCGCAAGAUUGAAACUCAAAGGAAUUGACGGGGGCCCGCACAAGCGGUGGAGCAUGUGGUUUAAUUCGAAGCAACGCGAAGAACCUUACCAGGUCUUGACAUACCAUGAAAAGCUUAGAGAUAAGUCUUUCCCUUCGGGGACAUGGAUACAGGUGGUGCAUGGUUGUCGUCAGCUCGUGUCGUGAGAUGUUGGGUUAAGUCCCGCAACGAGCGCAACUCUUAUUAUCAGUUGCCAGCAUUCAGUUGGGCACUCUGGUGAGACUGCCGGUGAUAAACCGGAGGAAGGUGGGGACGACGUCAAAUCAUCAUGCCCCUUAUGACCUGGGCUACACACGUGCUACAAUGGUCGGUACAACG